ensembl:lncRNA
AGGUGUUUGGCCUUCAAAGCCCCUCAAACACUGAGAAGAGAACCAGCUUCUGCUUUGAUACCGGGUCUGCGGUGCAGAAGCGCUGUCCGCUGUGUGAGGUGAUCUUCCCUCCCCAGUUUGAGCAGCGCAGCUUCGAGCAGCACGUGGAGGCCCACUGGCGUGUGUGUCCCGUGUGCAGCGAGCAGUUCCCCCUGCACACACAGCAACUGCUCUACGAGAGGCACGUCCUCACGCAUUUUGAUGGGAAUGUUCUCAACUUUGAGUAGCUACCAAUUACCAGGAACAGUGCUAGUGUGUGUGUGUGUGUGUGUGUGUGUGUGUGUGUGUGUGUGUGUGUGUGUGUGUGUGUGUGUGUGUGUGUGGCUGUCUGCUGUCGAGAGACUGUGGUGAAUAGACUGCUGAUGAUGUGUCUUAAGUGAGGAAGGCUGUAGGUGACAGUUGACGGCAUUGCCAAACAUUACAGCUGCUUUUAAAGUUCAUGUGAGCCACACCAGUGGUUCUUUUGAACUACCACCAGACUUCUCCAUCUUCUGAGCCCACCACCUCCACCCAAUGUGCUGUGUACACACUCAAUCAUUGGCUGCCACUGAUACCACCUCCAUCCAAUGUGCUGUGUACACACUCAAUCAUUGGCUGCCACUGAUACCACCUCCACCCAAUGUGCUGUGUACACACUCAAUCAUUGGCUGCCACUGAUACCACCUCCACCCAAUGUGCUGUGUACACACUCAAUCAUUGGCUGCCACUGAUGCCAACUAUUUCAUUUCCUUGCUGCUCAUCAGUGUUGGUUCUAUAUCCAUGUCCCUUAGCCGCCAUAAUAGAGGUCAUUACAUUAUUACAUUACAUUACAUUACAUUAUUCAAUCUCAGAAUAUCUAUUAUAGCGAUGGAUGGCUAGCAGAAUAUAAAGACUACCAUAAGUCUACCAUAAAUGUAAUGUACAUCAGCUUUAAGCAUCCUGUUUCCCUACCUAUAAACACAUACACCCUUUGCUUCAUACUCACGUAUGCACAGAUACAUGCACACCUGGCAGAUUUGAGAUGCAGACACAGAGACUCUCAUGUGACAUUCUCAAACGCUCAUGAUCUGAAACACAUGGCUGUAUAAUUUGCUAGAGAUGAUUGGUGGCAUGUGCUACAGUCCCUGCUUGAGUCGCAGUGCCACCCUAUGCCAUCAGAUAGUCUUUGUGAAUAGCUCUGUUCUAUGGGGUGUUAAGAUGUUAUAGUAUGUCCAUUACUUUUGGGAACCGGACGAGGAACUGAUUCUGGUAGCGGAGAUCACCAGUAUGUGUCUAACAUAUGUGGAGCUGAACGGUGAAAGAUAGCAGUGGGGCAUUAGCAUUUAGGGGUGGAUCUGCACAUCUACAGAUUGUUUGUAUAAACAGACAAAAUAGUUCUUGUGUUAUUGUAUGUUGGGUAACACAGUAAAAUGCUGACAGCUUUAUGUGACUAUUGUAUAUUGUAAUGGAAUACCUUUGUGGGAGUUCACUUUAGUCUGAGCCUGUGUAAUGCUAUCACACUUUGAUUGGUUUGACAAACAAACAAACAAACAAACGUGUUUCCAUGACCUGGAACAGGGAUCAACAACUUGGGUCUGUUUUAUUUACGCAUCGUCUGGAAUCAUGACUCAUCUGUGGGGGUUUGGAAUCAGGUUAUGAUGAAAUAGAAUUGCAUUCUUUCAAACAAAAAAUUGCAUGUAGUUAGUGGUCCUGCUCAACAUCAAGUCCUCAUAGAACAUAUGUACAGGUCUACUACACUCCUGCAUAAAUACAAAUGUUUUGGGGGUCAGGGCACUUUUAUAAACGUUUCAUUGUUUUCUCAAUCGGGAGAAGUGUCUGUAUUAAGAGCAAAUAUGAUAUAUGGAAAUAUGUAUAAUUGUACAUGUAAAGAAGUUUCAGUGCACUAAAUGAAAUGAAAUUGACACUGCAAAGGCAGUCUGUUCUCUUUGACAUCAUUCUGCUGACAAGGUCCAGUUCUGACACUGGCCCGGCUGUACUCUGACUGAGAUUUCAAGUGGCCGACAUCUCUUCCUGUGAAUUAUUCAAUUCAAUUGAAUUCAGUUUUAUUUAUAUAGUACCAAAACAAUAGAAUUGUCUCAAGAUGUAUUAUUAUAUUAUUAUCCCCAACCCACAGCUGUGCAGAUAUAGUUAUGGAUUUAUUACGUUUGUCUUUUCAACUGUCUGUCUUAUUAACUGCUAAGUUUAACCACUGACAUAGUGGUCUUCUUGAACUGAGCUGAAACUUCAACUUUGUCUAAAUGGAACACUAAGAAUAUUUGAAUUGUACUGGUUUAAAGUGUAUGAAUUCACACAAAAGAAAUAAAAUCUCUAAUGUAACCACACACAAAAAAUGGUUCUGGUUUCUUUUGACUUUCGAGGUGAAUGAAUACUCUCCCUGAGAAGAAUCCUUGACACUCGUACAAACUUGAGAACACUAGCACAUUAGCAGCAGGCACUGCUGUAACGCUGCCCUCCAGUGGCCAGACUGAAAGCUUAAUGGGGCAAAAUGUCAUUUUUCUAGACUAGAGCCGAGACCCAUACCAGUGAAUUCUGCUUCUUGUUUCAGACCUUUCAUUGUAUGUCUUUAUAUUCAUCCUUCCAUGGACAAUGUGAGUAAAUGCAUAACCAACACCAGACUCAGGAUGAUACACACAAGGACA